AAAUAUAAAACUAUGUGAGCAGCUUAUUGUUUUCAGAGGCUCAAUUUAGUGGGCUUAAUAAAUGUACCUUUUAAAUGAAAAAAAAAAACGUCUAUUUUACAAACCACAUAUUCUAAUUUUUUUAAUUUUCUAUUAGAUCAGAUCAAUACUAUCAUUCAUGUGUAUGUUUUGUUCCUGUAUCAUGUGUAUGUCGAGUGAAAUUGUUUGUGUAUACUAUAUAAAUUCAAAUCCACAGUCCCACAUGCAUGCAUGACUGCAGAAGACAAUACAUAAUUAUGUCAUUUCAGAGAUUACUGUCUUCAUGCACAAAUUACUUAUUGCAUUUUUUUUUUUUUGGCAAAGUUUAUUAUUACAAUUACACUUUUUUAUAUGUACUUGUAGUAAAUACUUAUGCUAAACAGUAACAAGUAAAAUUACCUGCACUAUAGCUAUGUAGUCUAGUUUUUCAUUUUUACCGAUAAUGUUUUUAUAAUAAAAAAAUAGUAUAUGCAUGUUCUUUAGUCAACUUAAUAUGAUUUUAUAGUUUUCAAUAUCUUUUAAACAUUCUUUAUGUGCUUGUCCCAAGUCAGGAGCCUGUAAUUCAGUGGUAACUAUUGGUUAAAGUCUGUCAUAUAUGUGUUUUUCGUAAAUUGUAUUGUUAUAAAUUAUUUUGUAAAUUGUAUUGUUAUAAAUAAGGCUGUUAAUUUUCUCUUUUGAAAUGUUUCUCAAAAUUACCAUUUGUCGCCCUUUAUAGCUGACUAUACGGUAUGGGUUUUAAAUGACUGCCAAAUUUUUGCGUUCGUAUAAUGUUAUCACGUUGUCAGCGUCGUCGUAGUCUGAAGACAUUUGGUUUCAAGACAAUAACUUGAGUAGAAGUGUAUGGAUCUCUAUGAAAUUGUAUCACAAGGUUCCAUACCACAACAGGAAGGUUGUGAUUGAUUUUGAGGGUUAUUGUCCUAACUGUUUAGGAAUUAGGGGCCAAAAACAAGCAUUUUACUUGUUUCAGGACAAUAACUUGUGUAUAAGUGUAUGGAUCUCUAUGAAAUUGUACCACAAAGUUCCAUACCUCAAAAGGAAGGUUGGGAUUGAUUUUUGGGGUUAUGGCCCAAACCAUUUAGGAAUUAGGGGCCAAAAAAACUAGGGUUUUCAUUUUUCCGUACAAUAACUUGAGUAUAAGUCUAUGGAUCUCUAUGAAAUUGUACCACAAGGUUCCAUGCCAAAAAAAGGAACGUUGGUGGUUAUGGCCCUAACUGUUUGGCAAUGUUUGGGAAAAAGGGGCCAAAAUUAUUUUUUUUUAUACUUUAUAUAAAUUGCUUAUUUCUUGAGCAAUUUCAAUGGAGUUCUUUAAUAUGCUGAAUCUAACCUUGCAUUUAGAUUUUGGAUUUUUGAACCCUGUUUUUAAAUUGGUCCACUUUGAGGUCCAAAGGGUCUAAAAUUAAACUUUGACUUCAACAAAAAUUUUAUUCUUGGGGUUCUUUGAUGCUGAAUCUAACUGUGUAAUGUAGAUUUUUGAUUUUGGGCCCGGUUUUCAAAUUGGUCCACAUUAAGGUCCAAAGGGUCCAAAAUUUAACUAAGUUUGAUUUUAACAAAAAUUGAAUUCAAGGGGUUUUUUUUAUAUGCUGAAUCUAAAUGUGUACUUAGAUAUUUGAUUUUUGGGCUGAGUUUUCAAGUUGGUCCAAAAUUAAACCUUGUUUGAUUUCAACAAAAAUUUAAUUUAUGGGGUUCUUUGAUCAUGUUGAUAUGCUGAAUCUAACGGUGUAUUUAGAUUUUGGAUUUUUGGCCCCAUUAUCAAAUUGGUCCACAUUGAGGUCCAAAGGGUCCAAAAUUAAACUUCAUUUCAUCAAAAAUUAAAUUCUUGGAGUUUUAGAAAUUAUGUAUAAAUAUAAAAUUAUUAGAGGUAAGUUUUAAAGACUUUAUGAAAGACAUUGUAUUAAUGAUGAAUGAUAUUUAUUUUUUUUAUUUUUUUUUUGUUAAUUUUUUGAAGAACUUCGUGGUAGGUUUGUUUGUUAUUCUGUAAAGAUUAAUUUUCAGAAUGCUAUAUAUGUUUAUUUUUAUUUUUUAUGAAGCAAACCCCUAUAAAAACAUAAAAAAGGUAAUAUUGUCCAUUAAUAAAUAAAUAAAUUAAAUUCUUGAUGUACUUGGAUAUAUGCUGAAUCUAACUGCGUAUUUAUAUAUAUAAAUAUUUUGGAUAUUGGACAAUACUAGGUAAAAUUCUAUUUCAAAUUUUUCAGUUCAUUGACCACAUUCAUUCUGUGACAGAAACCUAUGCUGUGUCAAAUAUUUAAUCACAAUCCAAAUUCAGAGCUGUAUCAAGCUUGAAUGUUGUGUCCAUACUUGCCCCAACUGUUCAGGGUUCAAACUCUGCAGUCGUAUCUAGCUGCACCCAACAGGGAGCAUUUUAUUUUCCUUGUUAAAGGCGGUAUGGUGACCUAUAAUUGCUUAUAUCACAUCAUUCAACUGGGAUGGAUAGUUGUCUCAUUAUCAAUCAUAGCACAUCUCCUUUCUAUAUUAGUUGUCAAGUUAAUGUCCAAUAAAGGAUUACUCAUGACCACUGAUGUACUGUUGUAGACACCUCGUUAACAAGACAUGAUGGCAAAAAAAUAUGCAAAUAUGCAAAUGAAACACAGCUUCAGCCUGAUGUUGGCAGGGAAAUGUGGGAGCUGAUUUCAACCAGAAGAAAGCCAGUCGCUGAAGCCAUCAAGACAAUGGAUACAACAGACUGCAAAUGAAAAUGACUUUCUAAAAGUGGACAGCUGAUUGUUCAAGUACUCACAGCACAAUUGUUUCUACAUGUACUUAUUGAUAUUUAGUAAAUCGUGUUACAUUGGUAAAUAAAUGUUUACCUGAGCGUCAUUAUGGGAAUCAGCUGUUUUGUGAAGAUCCAAUAGUGACUGAUUGACACUCUUCUCC